CAGUAGCCACGGUAAUACGAAGGGGGCUAGCGUUGUUCGGAAUCACUGGGCGUAAAGGGUGCGUAGGCGGAUCCUUAAGUCAGGGGUGAAAUCCCGAGGCUCAACCUCGGAACUGCCUUUGAUACUGGGGAUCUUGAGUCCGGAAGAGGUGAGUGGAACUGCGAGUGUAGAGGUGAAAUUCGUAAAUAUUCGCAGGAACACCAGUGGCGAAGGCGACUUACUGGUCCGAUACUGACGCUGAGGUGCGAAAGCGUGGGGAGCGAACAGGAUUAGAUACCCGCGUAGUCCCUGUCUCUUAUAC
rnacentral:rRNA from 1 species